UGACAAAGAGACCAGGAGACAACCAAGGCAGAUGCAACCUGGGCUUUACCUGUUUUGUCACAGGCAACAGCACCCAGGCUGGCAUCUGUGACUUUGGAGCUCUCAUGGAUAAGGCACAGAUGACAACAGUUGUUUAUUAUCCAACAAUUACUGUGCUCCAACAAUUCUUCAAUUUUCACGACAGCUGAACAGUGCCACAGUUUAUCUGAGUAGCGCUGGUGGCAGUAGUGCUCUGAGCAGGAGGAUGAACACGAAACCUACAGAGGAGACCUUCCAACCAAGAAUUCCCAACACUGCCUUACUUUCAUAAUGGAAAAAAAAGAGUCAGAAAGGGAGUCACUGGUUUAAACACCUCUGAGUAGUUCUAGAAGAUCAUAUUGUGAGAUAAUAUCUUCUGGACACUAAAGCAAAAGCCUCCGUAAAAGUGAUGAACUAUUUUACUGUACUGUAGCUACAAAUAUAAAGGAAUUACAUGAAAAUAUAUCAUAAAA